GUGCCAGCAGCCGCGGUAAGACGGAGGAUGCAAGUGUUAUCCGGAAUCACUGGGCGUAAAGCGUCUGUAGGUUGUUUAAUAAGUCAACUGUUAAAUCUUGGGGCUCAACCUCAAAAUCGCAGUCGAAACUAUUAGACUUGAGUAUAGUAGAGGUAAAGGGAAUUUCCAGUGGAGCGGUGAAAUGCGUAGAGAUUGGAAAGAACACCAAUGGCGAAGGCACUUUACUGGGCUAUUACUGACACUCAGAGACGAAAGCUAGGGUAGCAAAUGGGAUUAGAUACCCCAGUAGUCCUAGCUGUAAACAAUGGAUACUAGGUGUUGAACAGAUCGACCUGUGCAGUACCAAAGCUAACGCGUUAAGUAUCCCGCCUGGGAAGUAUGCUCGCAAGGGUGAAACUCAAAGGAAUUGACGGGGGCCCGCACAAGCGGUGGAGCAUGUGGUUUAAUUCGAUGCAACGCGAAGAACCUUACCAGGGUUUGACAUGAUACGAAUUUUUUUGAAAGAAAAAAGUGCCGUUUGGAACGUAUACACAGGUGGUGCAUGGCUGUCGUCAGCUCGUGUCGUGAGAUGUUGGGUUAAGUCCCGCAACGAGCGCAACCCUUGUUUUUAGUUGCCAUUUAUGGAACUCUAGAAAGACUGCCGGUUAUAAACCGGAGGAAGGCGGGGAUGACGUCAAGUCAGCAUGCCCCUUACACCCUGGGCUACACACGUGCUACAUUGGGCGAGACAAUGAGAUGCAACUCUGCGAAGA
rnacentral:rRNA from 1 species